rnacentral:rRNA from 1 species
GAGUUUGAUCCUGGCUCAGAUUGAACGCUGGCGGCAGGCCUAACACAUGCAAGUCGAGCGGAUGACGGGAGCUUGCUCCUUGAUUCAGCGGCGGACGGGUGAGUAAUGCCUAGGAAUCUGCCUGGUAGUGGGGGACAACGUUUCGAAAGGAACGCUAAUACCGCAUACGUCCUACGGGAGAAAGCAGGGGACCUUCGGGCCUUGCGCUAUCAGAUGAGCCUAGGUCGGAUUAGCUAGUUGGUGGGGUAAUGGCUCACCAAGGCGACGAUCCGUAACUGGUCUGAGAGGAUGAUCAGUCACACUGGAACUGAGACACGGUCCAGACUCCUACGGGAGGCAGCAGUGGGGAAUAUUGGACAAUGGGCGAAAGCCUGAUCCAGCCAUGCCGCGUGUGUGAAGAAGGUCUUCGGAUUGUAAAGCACUUUAAGUUGGAGGAAGGGCAGUAAGUUAAU